GACGAACGCUGGCGGCGUGCUUAACACAUGCAAGUCGAGCGGAGCGGCGAACGGGUGAGUAACGCGUGAGUAACUGCCCCCCUCCCUGGGAUAACAGUUGGAAACGGCUGCUAAUACCGGAUAGUGGGGGGGGACUCGCGUCCUAUCAGCUUGUUGGUGGGGUAGUGGCCUACCAAGGCGACGACGGGUAGCCGGCCUGAGAGGGCGACCGGCCACAUUGCGCUGAGAUACGGCCCAAACUCCUACGGGGGGCAGAAGUGAGGAAUGUGGCACAAUGGUGGAAACCAUGAUGCAGCAACGCCGCGUGCGUGAUGAUGGCCUUCCGGUUGUACACCGCUUUCAGCCAUGACGCGGUAGUUGCAGAAGAAGCACCGGCUAACUACGUGCCAGCAGCCGCGGUAAUAC
rnacentral:rRNA from 1 species